CACGUAGGGGCCAAGCGUUGUCCGGAUUUAUUGGGCGUAAAGAGCGUGUAGGCGGCUUUACAGGUCCGUUGUGAAAACUCGAGGCUCAACCUCGAGACGCCGGUGGAAACCGUAAGGCUAGAGUCCGGAAGAGGAGAGUGGAAUUCCUGGUGUAGCGGUGAAAUGCGCAGAUAUCAGGAAGAACACCAGUGGCGAAGGCGACUUACUGGACACAUAUUGACGCUGAGGUGCGAAAGCGUGGGGAGCAAACAGG
rnacentral:rRNA from 1 species